rnacentral:miRNA from 1 species
CCUUUAAGUACCUCCCAUCCUAUAGACAAUAUCUACAGAACAGCAAUAUCUGUUCUGUAGAUAUUGUCUAUAGGAUGGGAGGUACUUAAAGG